rnacentral:lncRNA from 1 species
CGACGAGGGCCUGCUCCCGGGCGCCGGUGACGACGCGCGGCUGCCGUCGCCCUUGCGCAGGAAGUUCUUCUGCGCGGUGCCGAGGUUCAGGCUCCCCGGCGCCGAGUUUUCGCGCCUGGGCUCCCCGGGACGCGGGGGGCGUAUCUGCGUUUCGGGUGGGGCGGGGGGGAUGAUGUCACUUUUUCCGAGUGGGGUACUGGGCGGGGCGGUGGGGUACCGACGGGGUGCCGAACGGUCCGGCCGGACGUGGAAAAGGGGCAUCGAGCCGCUCACCCUGGACGGCGGCGUGAAGAAGCCGUCGUCGCCCAUUUCCGAAGCCGCCGGCGCUCGGCAGCGGCCGUCGAGCAGCGCGAG